UGGGGAAUAUUGCCCAAUGGGCGAAAGCCUGAUGCAGCAACGCCGCGUGAGGGACGACGGCCUUCGGGUUGUAAACCUCUUUUAGCAGGGAAGAAGCGAAAGUGACGGUACCUGCAGAAAAAGCACCGGCUAACUACGUGCCAGCAGCCGCGGUAAUACGUAGGGUGCAAGCGUUGUCCGGAAUUAUUGGGCGUAAAGAGCUCGUAGGCGGUUUGUCACGUCUGCUGUGAAAACCCGAGGCUCAACCUCGGGCUUGCAGUGGGUACGGGCAGACUAGAGUGCGGUAGGGGAGAUUGGAAUUCCUGGUGUAGCGGUGGAAUGCGCAGAUAUCAGGAGGAACACCGAUGGCGAAGGCAGAUCUCUGGGCCGUAACUGACGCUGAGGAGCGAAAGCAUGGGGAGCAAACAGGCUUAGAUACCCUGGUAGUCCAUGCCGUAAACGUUGGGAACUAGAUGUGGGGACCAUUCCACGGUCUCCGUGUCGUAGCUAACGCAUUAAGUUCCCCGCCUGGGGAGUACGGCCGCAAGGCUAAAACUCAAAGG
rnacentral:rRNA from 1 species